rnacentral:rRNA from 1 species
UGGGGAAUUUUCCGCAAUGGGCGAAAGCCUGACGGAGCAAUGCCGCGUGGAGGCGGAAGGCCUACGGGUCGUCAACUUCUUUUCUCGGAGAAGAAACAAUGACGGUAUCUGAGGAAUAAGCAUCGGCUAACUCUGUGCCAG